rnacentral:sRNA from 1 species
UCAGAAUGGCUGCAUAUACUUCUACACC